GAUGAACGCUGGCGGCGUGCUUAACACAUGCAAGUCGAACGAUGGUCUCCCGCGCGCGGGGGUGUUUAGUGGCGAACGGGCGAGUAAUAAGUGAGUAACCUGCCUUCGUCUCUGGGAUAAGCCACGGAAACCGGGCCUAAUUAUGGAUACUACUUCCUGCCGAACGGUGGGGGGUGGAAUGGGAUUUACUGGUUAUGGAUGGGCUCACGGGCUAACGGCUUGUUGGUGGAGUAAUGGAUGGCCGAGGCGACGACGGGUAGCGGGCCUGAGAGGGUGACCGGCGGCACAGGGACUGAGGCACGGCCGAGAUACGUACGCGUGGGCGCUGUGGGAAAUCUUGAAGGAUGGACGGAGGCCUAGUGCUGAGGCUCCGCGUGAGGUAUGACGGUGUUAGGGUUGUAAACCUCAUUCGGAAGGAAAGGUGCCACUCGUGACGGUACCUACAGAAGAAGCGCCGGCUAACUACGUG
rnacentral:rRNA from 1 species